rnacentral:misc_RNA from 1 species
UCCGGUUUGUCACCGGCAGUCUCCCAUGAGUCCCCAACUGAAUGCUGGCAACAUGGAACGGGGGUUGCGCUCGUUGCGGGACUUAACCCAACAUCUCACGACACGAGCUGACGACAGCCAUGCACCACCUGUGAUGGUGUCCCGAAGGAAAACCGUGUUUCCACGGCGGUCACCAACAUGUCAAGCCCAGGUAAGGUUCCUCGCGUAUCAUCGAAUUAAUCCACAUAAUCCACCGCUUGUGCGGGUCCCCGUCAAUUCCUUUGAGUUUUAGCCUUGCGGCCGUACUCCCCAGGCGGGGCGCUUAAUGCGUUAGCUACGGCACAGAGACCGUGGAAUGGCCCCCACACCUAGCGCCCAACGUUUACGGCGUGGACUAC